AGCCCGAGUCAUGCAGUCUUUUCGAGAAAGGUGUGGUUUCCAUGGCAAACAACAGACCUACCAGCAGACCUCACAGGAGACAUCUCGCCUGGAGAAUUACCGGCAGCCGAGUCAGGCUGGGCUGAGCUGCGACCGGCAGCGUCUGCUGACCAAGGACUAUUACGGCCCGCAGCCCUUCCCCAGCUACGAGGGCGGCGCCGGCACGCCCGCCACGGCGGCGCGCGCCAGCAAAGGCCUGUCCUCGCCGCAGGCCCCGCAGGGGAGGCCGUCCUUCGCGGGCUACGCCGUCCAGGACGGCAGCCCCUACCCCGGCCGCUACUCGGGGGAGGAGGGCCUGCAGGCCUGGGGGGCGCCGCAGCCACCACCCCCGCAGCCGCAACCCCUGCCAGGGGCGGUGGGCAAAUAUGACGAGAACCUGAUGAAGAAGACAGCAGCGCCCCCCGCCCGGCAGUACCCAGAGCAGGGCGCCCAGCUGCCCUUUCGGACUCACACCCUCCACGUCCAGCAGCAGCUGUCGCAGCCCCUGGCUUACCCCAAGCUCCAAAGGCAGAAACCCCAGAACGACCUCGCCUCGCCCCUGCCCUUCCCCCCGGGCAGCCACUUCCCCCAGCAGUCCCAGUCCUUCCCCGUCUCCUCCACCUACUCCUCCACCGGCCAGGGUGGCGGGCAGGGGGCCCACUCCUACAAGAGCUGCACGGCCCCGUCCACCCAGCCCCACGACAGGCCGCUGACCGCCAACGCCGGCCUGGCCCCAGGCCAGCGGGUCCCGAGCCUUCACGCCUACCAGCCUGGGCGCCUCAGCUACGAGCCACAGAAGCAGCAGCAGCAGCAAGCCCUCCAGAGCCGCCACCACGCCCAGGAGACCCUCCACUACCAGAGCCUCACCAAGUACCAACACUACGGGCAGCAAGGCCCCGGCUACUGCCAGCCGGACGCGGCCGUCAGGACCCCGGAGCAGUACUACCAGACCUUCAGCCCCGGCUCCAGCCACUCGCCCGCUCGCUCCGUGGGCCGCUCCCCUUCCUACAGCUCCACCCCGUCGCCGCUGAUGCCCAACCUGGAGAACUUUCCCUACAACCAGCAGCCGCUUGGCCCUGGAGCCUUCCCCGCCGGUCUCGCGGACCACAGCCACUUCCUGCCCCUGCUCAACCCCUCCCCGACGGACGCCGCCGGCUCCGUGGAUGCCCAGGCCGCCAACUGCAAGGCCCUGCAGAAGGACAAGCUUCCUGAGAGCCUGCUGUCAGACCUGAGCCUGCACAGCCUCACGGCACUGACCUCGCAGGUGGAGAACAUCUCCAACACUGUGCAGCAGCUGCUGCUCUCCAAGGCGGCCAUGCCCCAGAAGAAGGGCGUCAAGAGCCUGGCGGCCCGGACCCCGGAGCAGCACAAGAGCCAGCACUGCAGCCCCGAGGGCAGCGGCUACUCGGCCGAGCCGGCGGGCACGCCGCUGUCAGAGCCGCUGAGCAGCACCCCGCAGUCCACGCACGCCGAGCCGCCCGAGGCCGACUACCUGAGCGGCUCCGAGGACCCGCUGGAGCGCAGCUUCCUCUACUGCAGCCAGGCCCGCGGCAGCCCCGCCAGGGUCCACGGCAGCUCCAAGGCCAAGCCCGAGUCCGUGUCCACCUGCUCUGUGACUUCGCCCGACGACAUGUCCACCAAGUCCGAUGACUCCUUCCAGAGCCUGCACGGCAGCCUGCCGCUCGACAGCUUCUCCAAGCUCGUGGCUGGCGAGCGGGACUGCCCGCGCCUGCUACUCAGCGCCCUGGCACAGGAGGACCUGGCCUCCGAGAUCCUGGGGCUGCAGGAGGCCAUCAGCGAGAAGGCCGACAAGGUCUGGGCCGAGGCGCCCGGCCUGGCCAAGGACACCGGCAAGCCGCCCUUCUCACUGGAGAACCACAGCGCCUGCUUGGACCCCAUGGCCAAGGGUGCGUGGCCGCGGCCGGGGGAGCAGGACGCCCUGCCCGAGGCCCUACAGCUGGAGAAGGGCGGCGGCACCAAGGACUUCGGCCCGGGGCUGUUCGAAGAUCCCUCCGUGGGCUUCGCCACCCCUGACCCCAAGAAGACAACUGGUCCCCUCUCCUUUGGUGCCAAGCCCACGCUGGGGGCCGCCGCCUCGGACCCCGCCACGGCGGCUUUCGACUGCUUUCCAGACACGACCGCCGCCAGCUCGGCGGACAGCGCCAACCCCUUCGCCUGGCCCGAGGAGAACCUGGGGGACGCCUGUCCCCGGUGGGGGCUGCACCCCGGCGAGCUCGCCAAGGGCCUGGAGCAGGGCGGGAAAGCCACCGACAGCGUUGGCCAGGAGGACGCCCGCGAGGCUUCGGCCUGCCUGGGCUUCCAGGAGGAGCAGCCCUCGGCGGAGAAGGCCGUGGUGCCCCGGGACUCCCAGCAGGAGGAGGGGGGAGGGGUGAAGGAGGAGGCGGGCGGGCUGCUGCAGUGUCCCGAGGUGGGCAAGGCCGACCGGUGGCUGGAGGACAGCCGGCACUGCUGCUCCGCCGCUGACUUCGGAGACCUCCCGUUGCUGCCGCCCGCCGGCAGGAAGGGGGACUUGGAGGCGGAGGAGUACUCGUCUCUGUGCGAGCUCCUGGGCAGCCCCGAGCAGAGGCCGGGCCUGCAGGACCCGCUGUCGCCCAAGGCCCCGCUGCUGUGUGGCAAGGAGGAGGUGGAGGAGGUGCUGGACCCCAAGGCCGGCUGGGGCUCCCCGUGUGCCCUGUCUGGCGAGUCCGUCAUCUUGCUGGGCCCCACCGUGGGCACCGAGUCCAAGGUGCAGAGCUGGUUCGAGUCCUCCCUCUCCCACAUGAAGCCAGGGGAAGAGGGGCCCGAGGGGGCGCUGGCCCCAGGGGAUUCCACCGCCCUGGCCCCGGAAGCCUCCCUGACCCAGAAGCCGAACAAGCCCGCUGUGCCCGAGGCGCCCAUCGCCAAGAAGGAGCCUGUGCCUCGCGGCAAAAGCUUACGGAGCCGGCGGGUGCACCGGGGGCUGCCCGAGGCCGAGGAUUCCCCGUGCAGGGCCCCGGCGCUGCCCAAAGACCUGCUGCUCCCUGAAUCGUGCACGGGGCCCCCCCAGGGACAGAUGGAAGGGGCGGGGGCCCCAGGCCGGGGGACCUCGGAAGGGCUCCCCAGGAUGUGCACCCGCUCCUUCACGGCCCUGAGUGAGCCCCGCACGCCCGGACCCCCGGGCCUUCCCACCACCCCUGCCCCCCCAGACAAGCUGGGGGGCAAGCAGCGAGCUGCCUUCAAGUCGGGCAAGCGGGUGGGGAAGCCCUCCCCCAAGGCCGCAUCCAGCCCCAGCAACCCGGCCGCCCUGCCCGUGGCCUCCGACAGCAGCCCCAUGGGCUCCAAGACCAAGGAGACAGACUCGCCGGAUGCACCGGGCAAAGACCAGCGCUCCAUGAUCCUCCGGUCCCGCACCAGGACCCAGGAGGCCUUCCACUGCAAGCGGCGGCGGGCCUCGGAGAGCCGGCUCCCCAACUGCCGCGCCGCCAAGAAGCUCCUCGCCAACAACCACCUGCCCGCCACGUUCAAGGUCGCCGGUAGCCCCCAGAAGGAGGGCAGGGCGGGCCAGCGGGCAAGGGUCCCCAAGCCUGGUGCAGGCGGCAAGCUCUCCGAUCGGCCCCUCCACACCCUCAAGAGGAAGUCGGCCUUCAUGGCACCUGUCCCCACCAAGAAGCGCAACCUGGUCUUACGCAGCGGCAGCACCAGCGGGGACACGAAGGAGGAGGGGGCCGAGGGCCCUCCCACCCUCUUCAAGAGGAUGACGUCUCCCAAGAAGGCCAAGCCCACCAAGGGCAACAGUGAGCCCACGGCAAAGCCACCGCCCCCGGAGACCCCUGACGCCAGCCUGAAGCUGGCCUCACGGGCGUCCGUCCAGGGGGCCAUGAAGACCAAGGUGCUGCCCCCCCGGAAAGGCCGGGGCCUGAAGCUGGAGGCCAUCGUGCAGAAGAUCACCUCGCCCAGCCUGAAAAAGUUCGCGUGCAGAGCACCAGGGGCCCCUCCCGGGAAUCCUCUGAGCCCAUCCCUCCCCGAGAAGGACCGCGGGCUCAAGAGCGCAGGGGGCAGCCCGCUGGGGGCAGAAGAAGGUCUCUUAAACGUGAGCACUGGGCAGAAGUUCCCAGCAGCCUUGGGGGCCAAUCCGUUAUGCAGAAAUCCGACCAACAGAUCCUUAAAAGGCAAACUCGUGAACAAUAAGAAACUGUCCUCGACCGACGGUUUCAAAACUGAGGCCUUCACAUCCCCAGAGGCCCUACUGCCCGGGGGCACUGCCCUGGCACCUAAGAAGAGAAGCCGGAAAGGCAGGGCUGGAGCCCUGGGACUCCCCAAAGGCUCCCUGGAGAAGAGGCCUCAUCUCGGCCCAGCUCUGCUCCUGACGGCCAGCAGCACGCAGGGGGGCAGCGAGGACAGCCCUGGCGGAGGAGGCAAGAAGCCAAAGACGGAGGAGCUGGGGCUGGCCUCCCAGCCCCCUGAGGGCCGGCCCUGCCAGCCCCAGGUGAGGGCACAGAAGCAGCCUGGCCACGCCAACUACAGCAGCUAUUCCAAGCGGAAGCGCCUGACGCGGGGCCGGGCCAAGAACGCCACCACCUCACCCUGUAAGGGGCGUGCCAAGCGGCGGCGGCAGCAGCAGGUGCUGCCCCUGGAUCCCGCAGAGCCUGAAAUCCGCCUCAAAUACAUUUCCUCCUGCAAGCGGCUGCGAGCAGACAGCCGCACCCCCGCCUUCUCGCCCUUCGUGCGGGUGGAGAAGCGGGACGCGUUCACCACCGUAUGCACUGUUGUCAACUCCCCCGGAGACGAGCCCAAGCCCCACAGGAAGCCUUCCUCCUCUUCAUCCUCUUGCUCCUCCUCCUUGGACGCGGCCGGGGCCUCCCUAGCCACGCUCCCUGGAGGCUCCGUCCUGCAGCCUCGGCCCUCCCUGCCCCUUUCCUCCACCAUGCAUCUGGGGCCCGUGGUCUCCAAGGCCCUGAGUACCUCUUGCCUUGUUUGCUGCCUCUGCCAAAACCCAGCCAACUUCAAGGACCUCGGGGACCUCUGUGGGCCCUACUACCCCGGACACUGCCUCCCCAAAAAGAAGCCAAAACUCAAGGAGAAGGUGCGGCCAGAGAGCACCUGCGAGGAGGCCUCGCUGCCUCUUGAGAGGACACUCAAAGGCCUCGAGUGCCCAGCUGCCGCUGCCGCCACCACCACCGCCACCACCACCACCGGGAAGCCCCCCAGGCCUGACGGCCCAGCCGAUCCAGCCAAGCAGGGCUCCCUGCGCACCAGCGCCCGGGGCCUGUCCCGGCGGCUGCAGAGUUGCUACUGCUGUGACGGUCGGGGGGAAGGUGGUGAAGAGACAGCCCCAGCUGACAGGAGCCGCAAGCACGAGUGCAGCAAGGAGCUGCCGGCAGAGCCUGGCGGGGACGCACAGGAGCACUGGGUGCACGAGGCCUGCGCCGUGUGGACGGGCGGGGUCUACCUGGUGGCCGGGAAGCUCUUUGGGCUGCAGGAGGCCAUGAAGGUGGCCAUGGACAUGACUUGUUCCAGCUGCCAGGAAGCCGGGGCCACCAUCGGGUGCUGCCACAAAGGAUGCAUCCACACCUACCAUUACCCAUGUGCCAGCGAUGCGGGUAAGAGCCAGCCCAAGGGGACCGAAGGUCGGGGGACGCAGGCACAGCUCCUCGAGCUGACCCCACUUGACCCAUCGGCUUCCCUCUUCUCCUGCCCCAGCAAUUCUUUACCUUCUCAUGUCUCUCGGCUGGGCCCUGAGCUGGGCAGUGCUGGUGACAAGGAGACACGUCAGUCCCCAGCCACCUGCUGGAGGAGGGCCCAGAAGCACAAAAAGUGGAAAGCUGUAUGUGAGCUGCCGUUGCCGAGGGGUGCCUACAGCUCGGGAGGGUCUCGGGCCUCCAAGAGCAGGGCUACCGGGCUGGGCCUUGGAAAAAGGCUGAAUAGGAGUUCACUGGGUUGGAGAAAAAGGAGAAAAGAUAGUUCAGUAACAAAAAUUGAGUGAGAUGGAAAAAGAGGAAGUUCAAGACAGACUCCCCCUGGCUCCACGGCACAGCUGUGGAAGGUUUAAGCAGGAUGGUGGGCCCUGGAGUCAGGACCAGGCUCCCCUGCACCUGCCCCAUUCUCUCCGCUCCCCCACUCACUUGACCCGCGGGCAUUUAUCGAGCACCUACCAUCACCAGGCAGGUGGCAUACUGAUGGCCUGGGCCAGAGAGCCCGGAGCCCCCAGUCCUGGUGGCACGCUUCAGGUGUGGACUGGGUGAGUCCAGCACUGUCUCUGCACUCGGUUCCCCAUCUGUAAAGCUGAAGUUAGAGUCAUUUCUUCUUUCUGCAGCUGUCUGGAGCAGGGAGUGAGAUCACAAGCACGACCCGGAAAGGGCAGCCCCGGUCCGAUUUGGGGGCCAGCCCCCGCAAUCUGUCCCCCGCCCCCUGCUGCCCUGGAAGAGCGGGAGGUUAUCAUGACCCUGUCGCACGACGGCAGGGCAGAGGCAUCUCCUGGCAGGACCCUCGCUGCUCCCACAGCCCAGGGACCCCUCUUCCCACCUGAAUGCCACUUCCUGGCAUCAGCCCGCACCGAGCCGCCCCCAGGAGCACACACGGGACUGAGCGGUGACGGUUCCUUGGUGAGGGCUGAGGCGCUAGCACCUCAGGGAGGGAACGCGCUGGAGCGGGACAUGGGGCCCGCUCUGGCUCCACACCCUGCCCUGAGGGCCGCGGGAACCAGAUUGUAAUGUGGACUCCGCCACUUCACCAGACCCCGGGCCUGACCUCCAGGAACAGGUGCCGCGGGCUGCAGCUCUCCUCCCACAGUGAUUAGGUUUGCGCCUGCGCUCUGCCAGCCCCGUGCCAGGCCUUGCACUGUCUCCAGCGGCACCUUCACAGACAGGCUGUCUUACCCGUGGCCACAGCACUGCAGGAACAGGACCAGGGGGUGACUCACUGUCUGGCCGGCUCCACGUCCUGCGUGCUGUCCUCUCCGGUGUUGCAGCUUCCCAGCCUCCUUGGGGGCUCACGUCUCAGUGGGACAGACAGGAAAACCGUGAUCCUUGCCUAAAGUUACGGAGACCAGACAAGGAGAGACUGUGCUGAGAGAUCCAUCCUGAGUUGGGAGGGAAUCCAGGAGGGCUUCUAGGAGGAGGUGACAUUGGAGCCAGUCCUCAAGGGCUCAAGGGAGGUGGGCAGGAGCUGGCUUGUGGUGGGACAUAUAUACCAGGCUUGGAGCGAUACAAACUGUUUCCAGUGAUGUCUUUGAGGGAUUCCCCAUCUAGUAGGGCUCUCUGUAGGGCCGCAGGGGGCAGAUGAAAUGCUGGCCCAAGCAGACCUGGGACGGAGCCCUGCAUUCCGGAGAGAGGGGCUGCAGGUGCAGAUGGAGCCUGCGCCUCAGAGGCUUUGCAAGCACAGGAAGCCGGGCCAUGCUGGGAGGAGUGGGGAGAGGGAGGUGGCCAGCGUCCCCAGGUCAGUGAGCAGGCCCGAGGCAGGGCAGGCUGUGCCACUGGUGUAUCAGCCACCGGACCUUCCAGGCCCAGCCUCCAGCACAUCUCAGGAGGGUGUGUGUGGGCAGGCGGGCCCUGCCGCAUGCCAGAUUGAGCUCACCCAGGUGGCCGUAGUCAGCCGGCAGCUCAGCUGAGGCUGGUGGACCCAGAUGAGCUGGGGCCCCAGCUGGGCCAGCUCCUCUCUGCUCUGCAUGGCCUCCCCGCUCCACCAGGUCCAGCUGGGCAGCCCCCUGUCUCCUUCACAGAGGGGCUGUGCAAGGCCGGGUGGGGGGGGCAGUUAAUCCCCACACGUGCAGCUCCCUUUGGGGUUGAACUUGAGGCAUCUGCCUAAAGGUUGGAGAGUUUGGCAGAGCCCGGAGGGGGCGGUGUGAGGGAGGGGCGUGGAGGGGGUACAGUGGCCAGAGAAGGGGGCAGGACUAGUGAGCCUAGCAGCCAGAGGGGAGGGGGACCCGGCUCCAGGCAGCAGGGGGGGCACGGGGGGAACCCAGGGAGUGAGCUGGGCAGGCAGGAGCCCCCGGCAGUUACCCAGCCCCUGGUCAGCACCUUGCACCUGCCCGACCCGGGUCUGGAAGUACGGUCCUCCAUGGGGCUCUCCAGGGGUCUGGGCCGGACCCUCAGACCGCGGGGCACCAGAGCUGCCCCGGCCCACUGACCCUGCACCCUUUGUUAGGCAGCCCACAUUGGAGCUAGGAGAGCGAGCACCAGGCCCCAGGCCACUCUGUCAGCGGGGCCCUGGCUCCCCAAGUGCAGACACCCGGAGAGGGGCUGGGGAUGGGUGACUGGCCCUGCCUCCCCACGUCCAGAGUGGCUGCUGGGGGCGGCUGAGCGUGGUGCCUCCGGAAGUGCCACCCCAGCCCCAGGUGGUCAACACACGCUCACUGCGCGCCCUGGGCGUCAAGGCCUACCUAGGGGCUGGGCCCGGACCACAGGAGGGAGUGACCAGUGCGGCCCAGCAAAGCACAGCGGGGGAGGGCGAGGGGGAGAGUGGGGAGGCCUCCCCAUGACCAAAGGGGGUUCCAGAGGGAGGAGAAAGGAGAGUAAAGGACAGAUAGGCCAGCGGGGCUGGAGGGCUGACGGAGUUCGGACUGGGUCGGAUUUCAAGCAGAGGCUGACUUACUCUUUGAAAAAAAAACCUGCAGCUGAGGGUGUCCGGGGCGGUGGGCCCCCCUCCCGGCCGGACAAGACGCCGUUCUGACCGCACGAACUUCUCUUGCUCACAGGUUGCAUAUUCAUCGAAGAGAACUUUUCUUUGAAAUGCCCCAAACAUAAGAGGCUGCCAUUGUAAUCCACCCCCGGCCGGAGGAGCCGCCGGAUCCCGCCCGCCCGCCAGCCCGCCCGCCCGCCGACGCCGCCGACGCCGAGGAGAGGAGCCGCCGGCGCAGCCCCCGCGCCUUCGCGCUGCUUCCGGCGCGGGUCCAGAGCCGAUCCUUGAUCCGGAACCCGGAUCUUGGAUCUGGCCUCCUCGGGCGGAAACUAGUGGUCCCCGGUCGGGAAGAAAACAGGUUCCGGAUCCGUCUGCUCCCGGAACCGGACGGCACAGGGCCUUCUCGCCCCCAUCCCCCGGCCAGGCUUGGAGAGGGGGAGCCCGCGGAGCGGCCAGACUCCUUGGAACACCCAGGCUCCGGCGUGGGUGGGAGGCCUUUAGCCUGGGGAUACGCUUCUCCCCCUGGAAGUUUCCAGACGACGUGGCACACAUUCUACGUGGGUCGGGUAGUGGCACGCAGCUGGGCACCCUGGGAGUGGGGUGGGGUCCGAAGAGGCCGAGGCUGGCUUCUCUCCAGGACGUGUCUCCUGGAACGAGGCUGGGGGCGGGGGGAGCCGAAGCCUGUCCGGCGCAGGAGGUGCCGGAGGCUGUGCGCCCUUCCUUCCCAGCCUUGGCCAAAACCUUCGUGCGGGUCGGGAGGGCCGGGGGCCUGGGGCCCGUGCUCAGGGGAUGCGGGCUCCCCGGGCGUGGGCCGGACUGGCUCCCGCUGGCUUCUGCUCGUCUCCCUUCCAGUCCGCCCCGUCCCCGGAGCCCAGCCUGGGAGCGCAAAACUAAAAGUCGCGACCAGAGUGCACCCCCGGCAGACGCAUGACCGACCCUCUGCACGACCACCGUCUCCGGGGGCCGCAGCGCCACUCGCACGGGAGCGGAGACAGCGCUAGAUCCAUGUACACACCUGUGUGCCCCUCUAUAUAUAUGUCACAUAGAAUGUAUAUAUGUUGGGAACAUGCUCGCUUCUCCCGUGUGUCGCCGCCGUGCGUCGUGUGCCCCUCAGCACGGGGCCCUUGCUGGGAAGGGGGCUCCGGCGCUGCCUCCUUCCCCAAGCAGCCACCACCGCCCGGGCCAGUGCCCGCCAGUUCGUCCGCCUGUCUGUCCGUGUCCUCAGCUCUGUCCACGCUUCGAUAGGCCUGAUGCAGCCCCAGCCCGGGGCCGCCCUAGAAACUUCCUGUACAUAUGACUGUAAAACGGUGAACGUGUGUAUUAUAUCCGGCCUCGUUAUAUAGUGUAUAUAUAUGUAUACAUAUACAUAUAUAUAAUAUAUAUGAAGACUGUAAAUGUUAAGACGACUAGUGUUCUUAUUAGUAUAUUGCUUCACACUGAAGAUUGUGUGUAUCGAGCUGUUUCUAAAAGAUGUUUAUUUUCCUUAAGAGUAAAAAAAAACAGUCAUUGCAUUCAGAAAAAAAAAAAGUCAAUAAAGAUACAACGAUUGUUUUGGAA